CGAAAAAACAACCGGCGAAGUGAUUCCCUGCUCGGAAAACUAAGCUUCUUUGCUCGGCCGGUUCGCGAACCCUGUUCUCCGUCAAUCCUCGCUGCGGCAAGUAACUUUCUCCCCUGUCCCUUUUUAUUUUCGUUUUCAAAAUUAGGGUUUGUUCAUUUUUCAUUUUUGCAGAGAAAGCCAAAGAAAUUGUUGGCUGACAAGAUUAGGAGAAAAUACAUACGUUUAUCUCGGGUGGGUUAUGAUUUCUUUUGUUUUAAAUGAUGAAAUUUUGCAAAUUCUUGAAUCUUGAUCUUCGUAUGUAAUUUAAACAGAGAUAUAUCAAUUAAUUUGAUUUUCUUGAUGAGAAAAAUAUUGUAAUAAUCCCUGAUUAAGGAAAUAUAAUUCUGUUCAUGCUAGAAAAAUUCACUCAAAGAUAAAUGUUGAACAUCCGACUACCGUAAAAGUGAUGUAAAAUCGAAUGUUUCUGGUGGUUUCAUCUUGGUUAGUACCUCAAAUCAUGUUUUAGGCUCUUUCAUUAGGCAAAUGUGAAAAACUACUCCCUCCAUUCUUGAAUGUCAGUCCUUUUUUGAAUCUAAAGCAAUCCAAUUUAAGUAAUUUCAUGUUUCAUGUUUUAGGCCUUUUCAUUAGCCAAAUGUGACAAACUAUAUAUUAUUCUGAUGAAAUUAAUAUGCUUAUUUUGAGGUGUUUUCUUACUUGGUUCAUUUGGUGGAGUCACAGAGACUUCCUCCACCCUUUUGAAGGGCGCAUAUACCAGUAAAAAACCGUACUGUUAUAGUACUCGAGACAGAUACUGGAGAACAAUACGAAGCCAAUUAUCUGCCUCAAUAUCGUGGACUCAGUGGUGGGUGGAAAAGGUUUGCCAUAGUUCUGAAAUUGGAAGGAGAUACUGUUGUUUUUCAACUAGUUGAACCUGCCAAAUUUAAGUCUACCUCUUCUAGAAUCAAAUCACUAAACUAGUUGAAGCUGAGGAUAAAAGCUGCUAAUGAAGCUGAGGCGGCUUGCCAACGGCGUCUCUCUGUUGCUGAGGCUGAAAUAGCUGAUUUAAGAUCCAAAUUGGAUACUACUGAAAGCAUGGAAGGCAAGCAUUCGUUUCUGUGCCUAGCACUUUUCCUGUGCCUGGAGAAGAACUGAUGUUUUGAUGAUUGUAAGAGGGGCAAGGAGAAGCUUGUUUGUGAUGCUGCUCAAGUACUGCUUUAUUUCGGAGUUGAACAAAUCAUCUAUGUUUCUGAAAUGACGCACUGCUAAAUAAAGGUCUAUACUCCGAGGACUGCGCCUUAUGCUAGUGAGGAAAUUGAUGUGGUUCGUGAGCAAUGGGCGAAGUUUUUUACCACCAAGUAUUUAUUAUUGACCUGAGGGCGCUUGAUCGUGUUGGUUUAGAUGUUAUAGAACAAUCUUUUAUGUUAAAAUGUAUGCGUACGUUGAAAUUGGAACGUAAAUAUAUUUAAAUGUAUCAGU